rnacentral:lncRNA from 1 species
AAAAAAAGAAAAGAAAAAAAAAAGAAAUUACACAUGCUCUUUGAUAGUACCUUGCUAUAUGUGAAAAAAUCCUAGUAUAAUUCUUGGCAUAUAUCAAUGGCUCAUCAUUUCCCACUACCUUUGCCUACCUGCUUUUCUUUCUCUCACUACCUCCCUUUCUCUCUUUUUCCUUUCCUUCCUAGCAUUUUUUUCACCCUUUCCCCAUCAUGACUACUUCAUUUUACAUGAAGUACCUCCUGAUUAUUUCAAUGAAAACUGACUACCUGCUUUCUGACUGUCAUUGAACAUAACCAAUGACCUAGAAUUAAGUUAUUUUACGUAUUUUAUUUUGAAAGAUCUUUUGGAAUUCUCUCAUAUGCAAAUUUGCACCUCUCUGAAAAUAUUGUGAAUCUAUUAAGAGUAGCGAUAAACUCGUCAACAGAUUUUGCAUAUUUCAGACAACCUAUUAUUUCCUCCUAUACAUUUAAGUUCCUUAUAGAUUCUGGGUAUUAAACCUUUGUUAUGUGCAUAGUUUGCAAAUAUUUUAUCCCAUUUUGUAUGUUGUCUGUUUAUUCUGUUAGUUUCUUUUGCUGUGAAGAAGCUCUUAAAUUUAAUUAGAUCCCAUUUGUCAAUUUUUGCUUUUGUUGUGAUUGCUUUUGGUUUCUUUGUCAUGAAAUCUUUGCCCAUGCCUAUGUUCAUGAUGAUAUUGCCUAGGUUGUCUUCCAGGAUUUUUAUAGUUUUGGGUUUUACGUUUAAGUCUUUAAUCCAUCUUGAGUUAAGUUUUGUAUAUGGUGCAAGGAAGAGGUCCAACAUCAGUCUACUGCGUAUGGCUAGUCAGCUAUCCCAGCACCAUUUAUUGAAUAGGGAGUCUUUUCCCUAUUGCUUGUUUUUGUCAAACUAUCAUUUUAAAAACAGGUCUAUGAUAUUGUGCCUGUAACAGCCUUCUAGACUAUUUUCAACACAAGGAUAAAUUUUUAUAUCAUAUAAAUUUUCACAAAACUAAAAAAUAAUCAUCAAACUAAUAUGCAUAAAAUAUUUAUUAAAUAUAUACCACUUAUAAAUUCAAUUUUUCACAAGGAAUUUUACAAAAUAAAAUUAGUCACUCUGUAUCUUUUCUGAAACUGUGAUUUACCCAUGGGUUUUAGGUAUAUAUUCAAAAACCCAAAUCAGUCAAAAGCAAAUAAUUCAAGAAAAUAUUUAUUGUUUAUGCUUCAUAAAUCACUUAACUUUGGUUUGUAUUUUUCUCCCAUACUAUAGAAUUAAUCAAUUUAGAAUUUGAUCAGAAAUACUUAUUUAACCAUUAUCACUAUGAAUGACCUUGCAUAGGCAACCAACAUGCAUCUUUCCUCUAAACUAUUGUAAAAGCUCUCUAAAUUAUCUCCAUGCUUGCACCGGCAGCUCUAUAGUCCAUACUCCACCAUGUUGCCAGAGUGGUUCUUUUAAAGUAGGCCAGAUCACAGAGGAAUAUUAUUUAGCCAUAAAGAGAAGAGCAUCUUGCCGAUUUUUAUAACAUGGAUGAAACUGAAAGACAUUAUGAUAAGUGAAAUAAGCCUGACAGAGAAAGACAAAUACUGUAUGAUCUCUCUUACAUG